GGGGAUGUAGCUCAGUGGGAGAGCGCCUGCCUUGCACGCAGGAAGUCGGCGGUUCGAAUCCGCUCAUCUCCACCA
rnacentral:tRNA from 2 species